GAUAGUUCAGUCAGAAGAGCACGAGACUCUUAAUCUUAGGGUUGUGGGUUCGAAACCCAUAUUGCUCA